rnacentral:rRNA from 1 species
UACGAAGGGGGCUAGCGUUGCUCGGAAUCACUGGGCGUAAAGCGCACGUAGGCGGAUUGUUAAGUCAGGGGUGAAAUCCUGGAGCUCAACUCCAGAACUGCCUUUGAUACUGGCGAUCUCGAGUCCGGGAGAGGUGAGUGGAACUGCGAGUGUAGAGGUGAAAUUCGUAGAUAUUCGCAAGAACACCAGUGGCGAAGGCGCUCACUGGUCCGGUACUGACGCUGAGGCGCGAAAGCCAGGGGAGCAAAGCGGG